GUAGACUCACACCCACCGGAUUCGAAACGUGGUACUUGUCCCCACCACCACUACCACCACCUCUUUCGCUCCCUUGCGUGAGCGUGUGUGUGUGUGUGUGUCGGGGGAGGGUUCUGGUGUCGAGAAUCAGCCACACGAGCGCCCACUUUGCUCAACCCCCGAUAUGUGCACGAACCCGCCGCCGCGCGCACAUGAGCUCGCCUGUCUGUGAGGCGCACGCAUACACACACGCACACACACAUACAGGAACAUCGCUUCUUCUGUGAAGGUGCCAUCGGAGGUGCACGGAUGCGGAGGGCGAUAGGGGAGGUCGCAUCCCAGUCGCCCACUCAAAGUGCGAUGCACUUGCGGCAUAUGCACACCAAUGCACGUGCGCUCGCCCUCACGACUCCUCGAGUCUCGCGCCGGUUUUAUGCGGGCAAGGCCUCGCUGACAGGCCGCAUUGCGCCGCCAUCACAACCGCAAUCGGCACCCCAACUACAGACGCCGCCGGGGUCGUCUUUGCGGCCUUCGACGCCGGCCUCGUUGAAUGCAUUGUCGAAGAGUGUGCGCAGUCAUCUCGCGGCCCACCCUUCUUCCUCUUCCAGCGCAAAUGAGCUGUGGGUGGCCGACCGACUUUUCGCCCUCCUCUUGCAGCCUGCAAAGGACACCUACGAGGCAUCGUCCACCACCGCGCUGCCGCCAGCGCUCGAACCGCUCCACCCUCUCCUGUGCGUGCGCGUGCUUCAACGGCUCGGGUAUGCUGUGUGGGAAUGUGAAGCGGCGGCGCAGGAUUGCUCGACGCAGCAUGCCGCGGCGGCUCGAAAGAAAGGGUGGACGGUGCGGCACACCUACCCCUCUCUGGAAAGCAGCAGCGGCGCUAUCGUGACAUCCGCCGAGUCGCUGCCCUCCUCCCGGUCAGUUGCCUCCGCCAUCUACGCCAACACGGAGCGUGUUGCAGGGGCGGUGCUGGCGCCACUGAUGCCUCUAGUAGGCGAUGGCACCGCUGCCCAUCCGCCACACUCGCAGGUGCUGCCAGUCCUUCCGCUGAUCGUGGAGUGGCUGUGCACACUGCCCAUUGCCGAGUCAGCCGUGCCGCUGGACCGCUGGCUGCCUUGGGUAGUCGCGAUCUACACAGAGGAUCAUCACAACCGUCGACCCCUGUUGCAGUCCCCACGGUUGCCGCCGUUGUUGAACCUGCUCCCGCAUCUCCUACGCAAGCUGAGCGUACAUCUCGAAGAUUCCACAGUGGCCGAGCAGGAGGCGACGCGGUGCUCACCGAACAUCUUGUGUGAGCACGGCCUUGCAUCGCUUUUCGCGUUGAGCCUCGCUGGCCCUGAAGCGACCGAAGACGAGCGAGGGGAACGUGGAUCAAGGGACGACAGCGGGGCGACUGCGAAGGCAACACCAUCGCCGGCGCAUCUCGCUUCUCAUCAGCACUCGAGGUCAACACUCGCCGAUGCUUUGUGGUGGCACGGCGAGGCACCUCUGCUGCGCCUGGCUGGAGUGCGGCGGGCAUUGAAACAGUCAGGGCAGACGGUGCCGCUUGCCUCAUCCGCUGCUGCUGCUGCCAAACCUCUCCAUACGCCGGCGACAGCGACUAGCGGCAGGCUUUCCACGCCACUGUCGCACCUGCAACAGGAUCAGGAGCUCUCGUGCUCGCAUUCGGAACGCGUGCCGCAUGUGGCAAUAGCGCUUGACGAUGACGAUGUCUACCGCCGCUUCCUGCUCCGCCUGGCGGCGCUGCAAAACAUCUCCCUUGUUAACGCAGCGGCAUCUGCACCCAGGGGGAUCACGCCAGCGCUGGUAUCCGUGCGGCUGACAGGGGCGGCUGCUCUGGGGGCAACAGAAUUGUGCCGUGAUCAUGCACCUGCUCCACUAAGCGAGGACCCUGACAUGAUUCUGCGCUUCAUUCAACCUCUACACGAGUACGUUCUCUUGCUUCAGGAGAGCUCGGCGCAGUGGAGCGGCACGGCGGGUCCGAACGCGGCCGCGACUACUGGCGUGCUACCUGUGCAGCUAACCUUUACAGGCGUCGCUCACGUACUCAUGGCCAUCUUUGGCCGCCUGGAGGAGCUUAAGCAGCAGAGCCGUUGCCGAGGUGCAGCUGCCGUCACGCCUGCGCUGCGAGCGCAGGCGUCUCUCUCUGUGCCUGCCGGCAGCUCCGUCACCACCGCCUUCGCGCUGCUACCGCAGAAGGCGCGCAUCCACGCUCUCAAAAGCCUCUGUGAACUUCUCCUGCGCCAUGUACGUGCUGUGCAGGCCUCGAAAUCGGCAUCCAGCACCCUGCCCACCGGUGCGGCUCCUGAUUGCGCCCCAUGGUUUGUGGAUGUGGAGUUGCCCCAACAGGAGGCGACUCUGCGCCGGCUGUGUGGCGCGGCGCGCGCGCUGGUGCGGGUGGUGAUGGAGGAGCGCCGCCGCAGUCUUGAUGAGGAAGGCCCGGAGGGCUCAGUGCUAACCGCGUCCUCUGUAGUGGCCGCUCAGCAGCAUCGCGCUGCCGGUGGUGGCCCCGGCGCCUCCACGACAAGCACAUCGCCUCCGGCCACCCCGCUAACAUCCAUCAUCUCGUUUGAGCGCGCGCUGCGGAGUUUGGCCUUCCGCGUCGUGGAGCCGGCGCUGUGGCGGCUGCAUGAAGUGUGCGCCGAGGCCCAGACAAGUGUUCCUGUACAUGUCCUGACCUUCGAGGAGUGGCGGUUGUACUUGAGUGUCGCCAACGCUCAUGAGGCAGAGCGAGACAUUCUCGCAGGCCGCUUGGCCUCCACGGCGGUCGAGCACGUUGACCAGGUGUACAGCCCCAUCAUGGCGUCCGCCGUCUCGCUGUUUGAUUGCGUCGGUGGCAGGGCUGGCUUGCGCACGGCGCAGCAGGUGCUGCCUCACCCCGGCCAGCAGCCCGUGUCUGCUCUUGUGGAGGGGAUCCGGCUUACAGCGCUGCAGUGUCUGCUGUUUGACGGGCUCCGCAGCGGUGGAUCGUUCUCAUCCACCUCCGCUGCGCUUUCAAACACUCGAGAGGAGGAAGCUGGUUACAUGGACUGGGUUUUGCACCAUCUUCCACAUGCGUUCUUCAGCGUGUGGCAACGCACGGAGCCGCCACCGACCCUGACCGAUCUGCCCUCCCCCGCAAAUGAGGCAGCGGAGGCUGCGGUGGCUGACCAACAGCUCCUGCGCCGUCGGCUGGGGCUUCUUACACUGCUGUUGCAUGCACGCGUGCUGAGUGCUCGAGAGCUGCUGCGUCGAGACGCAGCCCUGCUGCCCGGCACCACUCCAUCGAGGUUCACCAUGAAUGCAAAUCCGACGCACACGCGGAGGUGGUUUGGCGACGUCCCUUCAUCGCUCGACUCGUUGCUGCAUUGCAUGACGAAGAAUAGCGCCACGCUACCCAUCAGCGGCGACGGGAGGGAUGAGUGGUCGCUGGUGCUGUCUGCCGAGACACUCCAGGCGUGUGUUGUGCCGCCACUGCCGGCUGGCUGCACCGCUCUCUGGGAGCUUGUUGAGGUGCUGCAGGACCUAGCCGACGCCUCGACAAAGGCAGAGGAGACGUUGGAGCCCCCUGCGACCGUGACGGAGUGGGUGUGGCUGGGCAGCCCUGAGGCCCUUUAUGAGACACUCGACGCAGCGCUGCUCAAGGCCAGCGGCAGCGACCCCGCUGCUGGAGUGCCCACGCGCCACGGAUACUACCUGUUGCCCUGGACCACUCUCGCCUACAGCCAUCAGCCGUGGCGCGUCUACGAUGAAAGUGGACAAGCGCGUCGUGCAGCCCAAGAAUGGGAGGCGAUGCUGCAGUCGUGGCUGACAGGCUCGUCAUCAAUAGACGGCGGCAAGGGGGUUCCGACCCGACGGCGCCAGCAGCCCGUUGUGCGGCUAGUUAGCCUGACGGAGGAAGUCUGUUUCUUCACCUGUAUGCAGCGAGCGUCGACCUUGCAUCUCAGCGCGGAUGUGCAUGUGGUGCGCGGCGAUGUGCAGAGGGAGGAGAGGGAGGUGGCUCCCACAGUUCGCCGCGUAUUGGCCGCAUCGCAGGCGGCCAGGAUAGCUGCGUCGUCGUCGGCGGCCGUGACGGAAAGCGCUGACUGGUAUACCGAGGAGGAUUACGACGGGCUGGAUUGAGCGACGCCGUCUUGCAGGCACUGAGGAAGAGGUAAGGGAAGGGGGUGGGGCGGGGCCCAACGGCAUGCGUGUGUGCAUAUCGAUGUCCACCGGGAUCUCGCGUGUGCCUGCGCUUCGCCACUCGUCCAGUUUGUUCUCCUGUUUUUUGCUUUCCAUCUUCCACCGACUUGAAGGUGCGUGAGCGCGUAGGACG
rnacentral:misc_RNA from 1 species